rnacentral:rRNA from 1 species
AGCUCCAAUAGCGUAUAUUAAAGUUGCUGCAGUUAAAAAGCUCGUAGUUGCAUUUCCGAGGCAAGGGAUUAGUCCGACCUUUGGUGGGUAUUUAAUCCUCUUGCCUCGUCCUUGAGUGGUGCUUCUUGGUAUUAAGUUAUCGAGGAGAUAGCCGCUCAUCGUUUACUGUGAGAAAAUUAGAGUGUUCAAAGCAGGCUUAUGCCGUUGAAUAUAUUAGCAUGGAAUAAUAAGAUAGGACCUCGGUACUAUUUUGUUGGUUUGAGAACCAAGGUAAUGAUGAAUAGGGACAGUUGGGGGUAUUCGUAUUCAGUUGUCAGAGGUGAAAUUCUUAGAUUUACGUAAGACGAACUACUGCGAAAGCAUUUACCAAGGAUGUUUGCA